rnacentral:rRNA from 1 species
AUUGAACGCUGGCGGCAUGCCUUACACAUGCAAGUCGAACGGCAGCACGGGGCAACCUGGUGGCGAGUGGCGAACGGGUGAGUAAUGCAUCGGAACGUGCCAUUGAGUGGGGGAUAACGUAGCGAAAGUUGCGCUAAUACCGCAUAUUCUGUGAGCAGGAAAGCAGGGGACCGCAAGGCCUUGCGCUCUUUGAGCGGCCGAUGUCAGAUUAGCUAGUUGGUGAGGUAACGGCUUACCAAGGCGACGAUCUGUAGCGGGUCUGAGAGGAUGAUCCGCCACACUGGAACUGAGACACGGUCCAGACUCCUACGGGAGGCAGCAGUGGGGAAUUUUGGACAAUGGGCGCAAGCCUGAUCCAGCCAUGCCGCGUGAGUGAAGAAGGCCUUCGGGUUGGUUAAAGGAC